ACCCGGAUUUUAUUUGAUGCCAAACCAUUGAAUGAUCAGGGUUUGCUAGAACCUUAUCCCAGAAGAAUGGCUUUAGCUUGGUCUUAGGAGCAUCAGCUUCACUCCCUGAGACACCUCCUUCACUAGGAGCAUUUGGUGCAGAAGUUGAUGGUUGAGAUGCCUUUAAACCUGUACCUAUAGGUUGGGGUGGCCGAGGUGGCAUUGGGAGACCACUCUUUGGAGGCGGUGGUGGGACACCACUCUUUGGAGGUGGCGGUGGGACACCGCUCUUUGGAGGUGGCGGUGGGACACCGCUCUUUGGAGGUGGCGGUGGGACACCGCUCUUUGGAGGAGGCGGUGGGACACCGCUCUUUGGAGGAGGUGGUGGGGGACCGCUCUUUGGAGGAGGCGGUGGGGGAGGACCAGGCCUUGUGCCAGGAGGUUUAGGUGGUGGAGGAGAGGGACCAUUGCUACCAGAAGAAGGUUUCAGAGAGGAAGAUGGUACAGGUGGAGGAGGAGGAGGUGCCUUGCCAGGAGGUGGCUUCAGAGGAGCAGGUGGUUCAGGUGGCAGGGAAUCUAACAUGCCAGGAGGACGUUUUAGUGGAAGAAAUCCAGGACUGGGUGUAACCACCCUUCCAGGAGGAGGCUUGAGAGGAGGAAGCGGUGGCUGUACAUUAGUUUUACUGGAGAUGUCAGCACCUGCAACAGUUUCUAAUGAGGGAGUUGCAGCUAGUGAGACAUGGAGAAUGUCAGGCUCCACAUAGAAAUUGCCAUCCAAGGAUGAAACUCUC
rnacentral:lncRNA from 1 species